AAAAUACUAUCAUCCACCUGGCUCUAAAAUAUAUGGGUGGUGGGUCACCAUCUUUCCCUGGGGAUGGUUGCAGGGGAUGUGGGGUCUCCCAGGAAAGCCAGUUUUGUUGCAUCCUAGGAUUGAUUCAUCUCAGAAACUGAAAGUGCCUUCCCUCACCAUAGCUUCUCUCUAAGCCUGUCCUUCCAUUAUCUCCAAACGACAGAAAUCUGAGCCUUUAGUUUCGUGGUGCCUUGGAGAAGCAGUGGCCACAUAAGGGAUGGUGCAGUGUGGAGGAAGGACUGUCACCACAGGAGGCAAGGUGAUGAUCAAGGCCAAGAAUUCAGCAGGGAAAAGAAAGGGGAGCAAGAGAGUCCAGGAUUGUGGAGUAGAAUGGUCCACUAUCUGGAAUUGCCAGAUUAUUUCCUCAUGAUUCAUGAUUAGAUUUUAGGCUAAGCAGUUUUGGCAAGAAUAGGAUGCAGGUGAUGUAUGUAUGUCUUUUUUUUAAGGAUUUAUUUAUUUUAUUUUAUUUCUUCCCCCUCCUCCCUUGUUUGUGCUCACUGUCUGCUCUUGGUUCUCCACAGUGGCGCAGGCCAGCUUGCUUU
rnacentral:lncRNA from 1 species